rnacentral:rRNA from 1 species
GAUUAACGCUGGCGGCGUGCAUAACACAUGCAAGUCGAACGAUGAAACUCAUUAGAUUUCUUCGGAAUGAAAAUGAAUGGAUUAGUGGCGAACGGGUGAGUAACGCGUGAGUAACCUGCCUUACACAAGGGGAUAGCCUCUGGAAACGGAGAAUAAUACCCUAUGAAACCAGACAAUCGCAUGAUAAUCUGGUCAAAAUGUUUAGUGGUGUAAGAUGGACUUGCGUCUGAUUAGCUAGUUGGUGAGAUAAAAGCUCACCAAGGCAACGAUCAGUAGCCGGCUUGAGAGAGUGUACGGCCACAUUGGGACUGAGACACGGCCCAGACUCCUACGGGAGGCAGCAGUGGGGAAUUUUGCACAAUGGGGGAAACCCUGAUGCAGCGACGCCGCGUGAUUUAGAAGGCCUUCGGGUUGUAAAAAUCUUUUGUAUAGGAAGAAAAUGACAGUACUAUACGAAUAAGGGCCGGCUAAUUACGUG